rnacentral:rRNA from 1 species
GAUGAACGCUGGCGGCAUGCCUAACACAUGCAAGUCGAUCGGUAAGGCUCUUCGGAGUACACGAGAGGCGGACGGCUGAGUAACGCGUAGGAACACACCCUGCAGUGAGGGAUAAGACACCGAAAGGUGUUCUAAUACCGCAUACGGCCUUCGGAUUAAAGCAUUUAUGCGCUGAAGGAGUGGCCUGCGUCAUAUUAGAUAGUUGGUGAGGUAAUGGCUCACCAAGUCGAUGAUGUGUAGCUGGUCUGAGAGGAUGAUCAGCCAGACUGGAACUGAGACACGGUCCAGACUCCUACGGGAGGCAGAAGUGAGGAAUAUUUCACAAUGAGCGAAAGCUUGAUGGAGCAAUGCCGCGUGCAGGAUGAAGGCCCUCGGGUUGUAAACUGCUUUUAUAAGAGAAGAUUAUGACGGUAACUGAUGAAUAAGGGACGGCUAACUACGUG